UUUUUCAUUUAACAUUAUUUGAUAGAAAUCAUCCUACAUAAUGAUACAAUUCAUAUUAUUUAAAUAACUACAUAUUAUUUUUGUACCUUUCACCUAUGAUUCAUUUGUUAUUUUCUAAUUUUUCACUAUGAAUACUUUUGUAUAAGCCACUUUUUUUUUUCUACUUCUUUUGAACUAUUUCCUUGAGGUAUACAUGCUCAGUAGAGAAAGUCCUGGAUUUCAGUUUCCUAGUUCCUGUUACAUUUUUCCCCUCAUAUUCUCUAGACAGAUUGAGCCCAUCUGUGAUUCUACCAGAAAUAAAAAUUAAGUGCAGAUUUCUUCAUAAUCUUGACGUCAUUCAGUCUUACAAUUAAAAAAGUAUUUUCCCUAGUUUAAAAAAGCUUUCCUUAGUCUCCCAAGUUCCUUUAGUUUGCAGUUAGGUCACUGCUAAGGGAAGGGGGCUUCGGGGACUUUUGAAGCAUCUGGUUAAAUUGUGAUGUUUCACGGAGGUAAGGGAGACCUGCAGCGGACCCGGCUCGCGGGGGCGGCGCUGGGUGCAGGGCCUUCCUGUGGGCUGCAGCCGCCGCCGGCCCCGGGGCUCCCUCUGGAACUGCGCCCACCAGGGGUCAGUGUCCGCUCGGCUUCGGGCUCUGGCUUCCCACAAUGCACCGGGCUCCCUAGUCCCCGCGCUGGGAGGUGACCGAGCUGCGGCCGCGGCGGCUGGAGCCCAGAGGAUCUGCGGGGCGCGGGGCCGCCGGCCGGGGGCGGGGCCUCAGCCGGGGGCGGGGCCUCAGCCGGGGGCGGGGCCUCAGCCGGGGGCGGGGCCAGAAGCCCGGAGCGCAGCUGUCGCGGGCCGCUGUGCCCCUCCCGCGGGCGCCGCCGGGGCUCGGCUCGCACCCUUCCCCACCUCGGAGACCUGUGCACCUGGCGCUGUAGCAAGGAAUUGAACUUUCCCCCUGGACAUAGGCAAGGUUACUGGAAACUGCUUUACCUGCCACUGCAUGGGGAGAGAACACAUGGCCUGUGGUGCAGACCUCUCUGAAAGAGAAACACAAAAGGAGCUUAGGUAGUCAGUGUAUAAUGACCCUGUAUAUGGCCUCAUCCAUUAUGUAAGUAAUUUGUUUCUUCCUUGAGUAAGUAAGGGAAGUGGGCAGAAAGGAUAGAAGCUAUCUUCUUAGUAUAUGGAAAAACACUGUUGCCUAUAUUCUUGAUCAAAGCAAGCAUGGGGAGAUGAGAGGGGCAUGGUUUUGCCUACACUCUUCAAUAGUUUGAUCUUCUAACCCAUGGGUUUUUAUAAUUAGCCUUAUGGCCAACUGCGGAUGGGGCUGCCCUCUUGUUACACAUGUGUUGCAAGUGAUGACAGAUAUAUGGGGGGUUGUAUUCCAGGCAUCAAG
rnacentral:lncRNA from 1 species